rnacentral:rRNA from 1 species
GAUGAACGCUGGCGGCGUGCCUAAUACAUGCAAGUCGAGCGAACGGACGAGAAGCUUGCUUUUCUGAUGUUAGCGGCGGACGGGUGAGUAACACGUGGAUAACCUACCUAUAAGACUGGGAUAACUUCGGGAAACCGGAGCUAAUACCGGAUAAUAUUUUGAACCGCAUGGUUCAAAAGUGAAAGACGGUCUUGCUGUCACUUAUAGAUGGAUCCGCGCUGCAUUAGCUAGUUGGUAAGGUAACGGCUUACCAAGGCAACGAUGCAUAGCCGACCUGAGAGGGUGAUCGGCCACACUGGAACUGAGACACGGUCCAGACUCCUACGGGAGGCAGCAGUAGGGAAUCUUCCGCAAUGGGCGAAAGCCUGACGGAGCAACGCCGCGUGAGUGAUGAAGGUCUUCGGAUCGUAAAACUCUGUUAUUAGGGAAGAACAUAUGUGUAAGUAACCGUGCACAUCUUGACGGUACCUAAUCAGAAAGCCCCGGCUAACUACGUG